rnacentral:tRNA from 1 species
UAGCUCAGUUGGUAGAGCAUGGUGUUUGGCAACGCCAGGGUUGUGGGUUCGAUUCCCAC